UGUAUGUAUGUGUAUAUAUAUAAAUGUAAAUGAAGAAAAUCCGUAGAAAGUGAAUUCGCUAAUAUACGUGAUGAUUAAAUCGUACGAGAAAAAAAUAUCGUCAGCUGUGUGUUUCUUGUUAAUCUUCGCACAUAUCGAAUUAAUAAUUGUCGAGGACAAUCAGAGGAUUACCGAGAAAUCGGUUCCAUCCUUCGUCGCUAAGAACAAAUUCCGUACAGUCCCUCAAAGAGUAUUUCUGGAAAGGCGUGUUCGUCAUAAUGAACGUAACCACCCCUCGGACAUCAUUGUGAUAUAAACGCUAUAAUCGCAGGAAAUGGUUCGAAGACGAUUCAACGUGCGUUGCAUAAUUAGCUCUUCAGCUUUUCUUUCCAAGUAUCCAUUCUAUGCGUGCUUGAUUAUGUAUCGUAUAGAUUCCGAACAGGAAAUUCACCUUUACGGAUAAAAAUUAAUAAAGUAUCGACCGUAAAAGGAAGCUAGGAACAUUAUUCAUUGCGACCGCACGCGCGUUCGCUGAAAGUAGAAAUCAUUACGAUAUCUAAACGGCUCUUGGACGUCAAGUUUUUUUCACAAUUCUGAGAGUUGUUUUCUCGUUUUAACGUCCAACUAGAAAAACAUACGUAGUCGUAUUAAGUAUGUACGUAUAUAAUAGUAUCUAUUUCUGUAUGCAUGUAAUACAUAUAUGUAUCUAUGUAUACGACGAUGUUGUUUGUUUAAAAACUUUCGACCGUCCUUACGAAGUUUCACAAGUUUUGAUCGGCGUCCGUUCAGAUUCGAGUAAAUCCGUCGUUUUACAAAGAGGAAAAAACGGACGACGAAGAAAGAGAGAGGAAAAGUCGUCCCCGUCGUGGAAUCUGUGUUUCGGUGUUUCGGAGCCAAGGUCUCGUUGCGGAUACCUCCGAAUAUCGCAGCACAAGCGAUGCCACGUUAAUGCAGGUCAGGUUCUGCGGGUUCGUCGCAAUCUCUCGAGGUCGCCCUGCGCGCUCUGAUAUUUUCGCGUAAACAAAAAACGCGAGAUGAUGCCAGCGAGUCGAACUUGAGAGAAAUCGAUACGUUUCACUCCGUAAAACACCAUCCUCCCAAUUCAUUCGCCGACCGAUCGGCACCAUUCGCCGAUAUUACAAUCGAAAUUUAGCUUUGUUUAUACCUCCAAAUUUUGUCAAAAUGUCCGAUUGAAAUAUAUAUUUGUUCGGGAUAAAGGAAAAUAAAAAAAGACGGAAAGAAGAUCAACCGAAUGACUCGAAUUCUAAGCGAUAAUGUCCUGUCAAUCAUGUUCUGGAUGUCCAAUGAGACCAUGUCCUCCUGAAAGAUCCUGUCCACCAAAAUACAUCUGUCCACCGAGUUCUCCUCACAAAAUCUGCAUAAUUCCACCCAUACCACAAAAACCUAGUUGGAAACCUUGUUGUAUACGCGUCUACGGUUUCCCGUGCAACAGACAUCGUCGUCCAGAAAAAUUCAUACGAUUCACCAAUUUAGAUUGUUUUUCUCAGUGGUAAAUAUCUAUAACCCAAAAUAUAAAUUGAGAGAGAACGAGGAAAAGAAAGAGAACAAGAAAAAGAGAGAGAAUCGAACGGACGAUAACGAAUCCGAAAGUUUAAAACGAUUAAUCGUGAAAUUUUUCCACGAUCUAUAAACUUGUAAGAAAAUUUUCAAAAGCUCGAAAGUAAAGAUCCUUCGAAACGAUUCCUCUCGAAGAUUUCUAUCGAAUAAGUAUAUCCAUUUGAAAAAUAUCAUUCGAACUAAUCCAUCGAAAGAAAUGAAGAUAAACGUGGAAAGCAUUCUGAUGGCCAUGGAAAUGAUUUUACGUAUGUUCAUAAUAUUUACCGGACGUGGACUCUUGCUCUUUUUAAAGUUCAAUUAAUAUGUCAACAGAUUUAAUCAUCAGAAUAUCACAACAUAAAAUAUAAAGAACAAAUAUAACAACAUAAAAUA